rnacentral:rRNA from 1 species
AGCGGCAGAUGGGUUAGUAACACGUGGGUAUCUACCCUAAAGUCAGGAAUAACUCCGCGAAAGCGGAGCUAAUACCUGAUAGUCCCUUCGGGGUAAAGCUUUGGCGCUUUAGGAUGAGUCCGCGGCUUAUCAGCUUGUUGGUGAGGUAAUGGCUCACCAAGGCUAUGACGGGUAGGGGAUGUGAGAGCAUGGUCCCCAACAAGGGAACUGAAACACGGUCCUUACUCCUACGGGAGGCUGCAGUCGAGAAUCUUGGACAAUGGGCGAAAGCCUGAUCCAGUGACGUCGCGUGCGGGACGAAAGGCCUUCGGGUUGUAAACCGCUUUUCUUGGGGGAAGAAAUCUUUUUGAUUGACGGUACCCCAAGGAAUAAAGGGGUGUCUAAACUCGUGCCAGCAGAAGCGGUAAUACGAGUGCCCCAAGCGUUAUCCGGAAUUAUUGGGCGUAAAGCGUCCGUAGGCGUCCAGCAAGGUUUUCUGAUUACCUCCAGCGCUUAACGUUGGAAUCACAGAAAAAACCGGUUGGAUUGAGGGUGUCAGAGGUUGAUAGAACUCACGGAGUAGGGGUGAAAUCCGUUGAUACCGUGGGGAAUACCGAAAGCGAAGGCAGUCAACUAGGACAUUCCUGACGCUGAGGGACGAAAGCGUGGGUAGCGAAAAGGAUUAGAUACCCUUGUAGUCCACGCCCUAAACUAUGCUGACUAGGUAUUUCGAGUGUCGACCCUCGGAGUGCCGAAGCUAACGCGUUAAGUCAGCCGCCUGGGAAGUACGGUCGCAAGACUAAAACUCAAAGGAAUAGACGGGGGCUCGCACAAGCGGUGGACCACGUGGCUUAAUUCGACGAUAAGCGAAGAACCUUACCAGGGCUUGACAUGCUAGGGUGUACUUUGAUGGAAACAUCAAAGGACCGUCAAUUCGGAGCCUAGCACAGGUGUUGCAUGGUUGUCGUCAGCUCGUGCCUUGAGGUGUACCCUUAAGUGGGGUAACGAGCGCAACCCCUAUCUUGUGUUUUAAAUGUCACAAGAGACUGCUUCGUUUUAACGAGGAGGAAGGCGGGGAUGACGCCAAAUCAGCAUGGCCCUUAUGUCCUGGGCGGCACACGUGGUACAAUGGUCGGUACAAUGGGUUGCUUAGUCGCAAGGCGAAGCUAAUCUCAUCAAAACCGGUCUCAGUUCGGAUUGGGGUCUGAAACCCGACCUCAUGAAGCUGGAAUCGCUAGUAAUCGCAGAUCAGCCACGCUGCGGUGAAUAUGUCCCCGAGCCUUGUACUCACCGCCCGUCACAGCAGGGAAGUCAGUUUUAUCCGAAGUUCCUACACAAGUAGGCCCUAAGAUAAGAUUGGUGAC